rnacentral:tRNA from 1 species
GGUGGCUCAUUGGUAGAGUGCUUGCCUUGCAUGCAUGGGACCCUGGGUUCGAUUCCUUAGCACCA